UCGAGAUUGGAGGACCUCUGUUUGUGCUUCAGGUAUACUACGUAUAUUAUCACAAGCGAAUUAUGCAAUGAGUAAUGUCAUAUUUAACAUAGUUUUGUGUUUUGCUAUUGAAGCUAUGGGCUUGGGAGCACAUCCACGUAGGAAGACCAGGUAGGCCUGCUGUACAUCGUCCGGGGCAGCAGGACCAGGAUGACCAGUAUGAGUCGUACAUCGCUCCGCCUCGCCCUGCAGCUGAUGAGGCUUACGGUUGCAGGUGGAUGGUCCCCAGACUCACACAGGCACAUGCGGCGACGGGUCUCCCAUACUACCGAGACGCCCUUGAUCGACUCACUGAGGAUCAGAUCACAUGGGAUCCGUAUGUACCGGAGUUGGUAGAUGUCAUGCCUGCACAUCUACUGGAGCAUCAGGGAGAGUGGCGUGCCCGGGUCCCCCUGAUCUGUUUCAAGGUUGUGGAGAGUCACCUACCUGACCGCGUCAUGUGACAGUUCGGACUGCA